UUCCUUUCCUCAUUCCCAAUCUCCGAUCCAUCCCUAAAAACAACUGACGAGAGAUCGAUGAUGAUGAAGAUGCCUUGGAGGAGGAAGAGCAGGAGCUUCCAUCUUCAGCUACAAGGGGCAAUUGGUACCAUUCAAUCUCCAUUCCUAUUCUUAUUUACCAAUUAUUGCCAUUCUUCUACUUCCACACUUAAAAAUGCACGCUUCUUCACAAAUAACUUCAAAUCUGCUUCUUUUACCCGCCUUGAUGAUGCCAUUGCUUCCUUUAAUCAUGUAAUUCAUAUGCAUCCUCUGCCUUCUAGGGUUCAUUUUAAUAUAUUCUUAUCUGCCCUUGUGAAAAUGAAACAAUAUCACACUGUCCUUUCCAUUUCCAAAACAAUUGAAUUGCUAGGAAUCUCUCACAAUAUUUAUUCUCUUAACAUCUUAAUUAAUUGCUUCUGCCGUUUACAUCUUGUGGAUUUUGGCUUCUCUGUUUUCGGAAAGAUGUUCAAAUUCAGAUUGGAGCCUACCACUGUGACAUUUACUACCUUAAUUAAUGGGCUUUGUAUAGAGAGUAAAAUGGACAAAGCAGUGGAAUUUUUCGAUGAUAUGGUUGCACGUGGUUAUCAACCUAAUGUUUAUACUUUCAAUGUCAUAGUAAAGGGAUUGUGUAAAUUUGGUAAAACAAAUCUGGCUAUUGAGCUACUAAAGGAAAUGGCUGAUAGAGGUUGUGAGCCAGAUGUUGUGACAUACAAUGCAAUCAUUGACACCCUUUGCAAAGAUGAGCUAGUUGGUGAGGCUUUAGAGCUCUUCUCUCAAAUGAGGAAUAAGGGCAUUUCACCUGAUGUCAUCACUUACACUGGUUUAAUUCAUGGUGUUUGCAAAUUAGGCCAAAAGAACCAAGCUUUGGCCUUGAUGAAUGAAAUGGUGGAGCAGAACAUAUUACCAAAUGUUUAUACCUUCAGUGUAUUGAUUGAUGCUCUUUGUAAGGAUGGAAUGGUUUCAGAGGCUCAAAAUACAUUCAAUAUAAUGAUUCAAAGAGGUGUAGAGCCUAAUGUGGUCACCUACACUUCCUUAAUUGAUGGUCUUUGCAUUUCAGACCAUUUCAAGGAAGCUUUGGACUUGUUGAAAGAAAUGGUGGGGAGGAACAUAUCCCCUAAUGUUUUUACCUUCAAUAUAUUGAUCGACACUCUUUGUAAGAAAGGACUGGUUUCAAAUGCACAGAAUAUAAUCAAAAUAAUGAUUCAAAGAUGUGUGGAACCUAAUGUUGUCAUUUAUAAUUCAUUGAUGGAUGGAUAUUGUCUGUGCAAGCAAAUUGAUAAGGCUAGAAAGGUAUUUGAUCUGAUGGUGACCAAUGAAAUAGCUAACAUUUUUAGCUACAACAUUUUGAUCAAUGGAUAUUGUAAUCGCAAAAUGAUAGAUGAUGCAAAGGGGAUUUUUGAUGAAAUGUCUCAUAAAGGUUUAGUUCCUAAUGCUGUUACUUAUCAUACUCUUAUAAAGGGUAUGUUUGAAGCAGGGAGGCCCCAAAAUGCAAAAGAGCUCUUUAAGGAUAUGUGCUCUCAUGGUCAACAACCAAAUAUAGUAACCUUCUCAAUUAUGAUUGAUGGCUUGUGUAGACAGGGGAAUCUCGAUGAGGCACUCACACUAUUGAAAGCAAUGGAGAAAAGUCAGUUGAAGCCUAAUGUUGUGAUCUAUAGCAGUUUGAUCAAUGGUAUGUGCAAAGUUGGGAAGAUUAAUGAUGCCAAGGAACUUUUUUCUAGUCUUUUUGAAAUUGGUUUACAACCUGAUGUUUAUGUAUAUUAUGCAAUUAUGAAAGGACUUUGCCAAGAAGGAUUAAUGGAUGAAGCGUACAAGGUAUUUAAAGACAUGGAAAAGGUAGGAUGUUUACCAAAUAAUUUUUGUUAUAAUAUCAUCAUUAAAGGGUUUCUCAGGCAUGAGGAUUUACCAAAAGCAUCAGAACUAAUCAACGAAAUAGUUGAUAAGGGGUUCUGUGCUGAUGAUGCUACCACAGAAUUGGUAGUACAUUUAUCGCGGAAUAAUUAUCUCAUUCUGAGGCUUUUAAAGGUGCGCAAUGAGGGAUCAGCAAACUAAAGUUGUUAUAUCUUGACCAUUCAAUUGUAUCUUGGAGCGCAACUUGGAAAUUACCUUUUUCAAAUAUAAUAGAUAUGUAAUUUAACUAACUUCUUCAAAUAUCAUUUUUAAUUUCAAUCAGUUGUGAUUCUCUUCCACAAAACGAAAAUUUCUAACACUGCAAAUUACCUGUGGUGGAAACCAUGAUAUGUGUGUGCCUUUCGCUUGAAUUCAGACAUGGACUUGGAUGUCUUUGAUAUAAGAUUGUUGAUGAAUGGAGGUCAUGGAUUUCUAAUGAUCAAGUUGCUGGUAAACCCACCAUCUCCUUUACAGAUUUUUUUUGGCUGCUACUACAGCCUUAACUCGAGAGCUCAGUCCUAAAAUUGAGGUUAGAACUAAAACUAAUUGGUUCCAUACUACAAUGCUUAAGAAUCUUUAUCUAUUUUUAUUUUUGUGCUCAAUGACCUUUUAAAAUGCUAUCAUUUCUCUUGUAGGUACUUGCAAGGAUAUGAUUACAACUUCACCUUUCUAACCAUAAAGGUAUAAGCAAUUCUUUUUUGCUUAAUUAUUAUAUUUUUAAUAAUAAUGAAAAUAAUGAUUAUAAACCAGUGUGCUUUAAUUGAGAAUUGAUUUAACAAUUAGACUACACUAUAAAUGCAGGGUGCCGGAUAUACAGUCCCAGAGUACAAGGUAAGAGAAUCACUAGAGUUCUACCGCUGUUGGUUGGAUGAAAUGUAACUAAAAUUAUACACAACAGAAAAUGUUAUGGGAAUUGAGGGAAAGGCAAACAUCCUCUUUGUCAAUAUAGUAUAUAACGGAUAUAUUUUAGUGUUGGAACACCAUUUGAGUUAUUUACAUGGUGCAUUUUGCGAUACAUUUGUGUGGUGUUAUGAAUGUGAAACGCAUUGUUUCUUACUGUUUGAGAUGUUAGUUAAGUUAGGCAAGAAAAGUUGUUUUGGCUGUUGCUUUUCUCCUUUCAGCAGUAUAUUGUUUAGUUUGUGAAAGUGUUAUAUUUGGUUGCAGAGAAAUAAAGUGGUUUACUGGAGAUUUUGGAACCAAAGGGACAUUUAUACUUUUUGGAGGGCAAAUUCAAAGCGGCAAUAUAAUGAUUUAUUUGGCUUUAAAGAGAGAUAAAUCAAUGUCAAUCAGACUAUGAGUCCUACUAGAGGUUCUUAUACCCCACUUCUGAUUAGAUUGAUAGGAGAAUGAGAGAUAGCUGAGUUUCAAGAGGUGAUUUGUUCAGAAAUCACAGAGGCAACCAGUUACAAGAUUUUGGAGUCGCUUUUAUCAAAAUAUCAGUUUUAGAGCUACUCAUACAAAACUAAAUAUAAAAGGAAGUUUAUUGUUAGCAAACUGAUAUAUUUUUCUAUGCUACAAAAUCUCAGUAUCAUGCAAUAUAUCGUUUUAAUGGUUCAAGCGAGAUAGUGGGCAACAUGCUAAAAGGAAAAAUUAUAAUUCUGAUACUUUUGUCAACAAAUUUUACUAACAAAUUUUAUCAAUGUACAUUAGUAAUUUUAACAGAUUUAUUAACGAAUUUGGAAAUCUUUUGAUAAUUAAAUAUAAAAAGUUGUGUAAACAUUCACUAGAUCCGUUAGUAAAUCACUAACAAUUUUAAUAUGUUAGUAAAUUUUGAGGUGUAAAUGAAAUAAAUUGUUUGUGAGCUAUUCGAGAUUCCAUGAGAUAAAAAUUCGUCCAAAUUUGACUCGAUUUCUAAACGAAUCAAAUUCAAACUUAAUUUUUAGGCUUGUUUAGUAAAUGAGACAAACUGAAACUCCAUAGUAUUCGUCUCGUCAAGGUUCGCGAGUUCGGCUGGUGUUCAAGUUCAUGAGCAGGCUGGCGAAUGGACUCCUGAAUAGUCUCGUUAAGAAGGCUGAGAUUAAUAUCAUAAGAGAAAUAAAUUUAAAUUCUACAUAUAUUUUCAUGAGUCAAAUCUAAAUUUUAUAAAGUUCAAUUCUAUAUUGUUUAAUUAUACUAUUAUAACUUGUAUAUAUUUGGAUUGUUAAGAGCUCAUCUUUAUAAGUUUAGGAGCUAAUUUGUAUAUAUACUUAUUUAGUUAAAAUUAUUUAGUUUUAAACUAAUUAAUUUUAAAUGAAAAUUCAUUAUACAUGUAAAUAAAUUGAAUUAUUGGUGAAUUAUUCGAGAUUAAACUCGAUAAAAACUUAACUCGUCUAAGUUUAUUUGCUAAAGGAGUCAAGUUUGAACUUAUUAAUACUCGGUUCAAAUUCGAAAUGAGUAAAACUCGAAUUCGACUCGAACUUAAAAAAAUUUUAACGAAUUAAAUUUAAACUUUUCAAAAUUCAGCUCUACUCGAUUCAUUUACACCCUAAGUAAAUUUUAAAAAGUCUUUAAAUUACUAAUAAAUUCUAAAUCCAUAGAUAAUUUGUCCAAAAAAUUAUUAACGGAUUUGAAAAUUCAUUAUUAAACUUUAUCAUCAAAUUAAUAAAUAAAGAAAAAAUAUUGAAUUUAUCAACGGAUGCUAUCUGCGGAUAAAUUCAUUAAUAAAUUUAAAAUAAAAUUUUACAAACAAUUUUUGCAUUUUUUUUUGCAAUUCACAUUUUCCGGUUACCAAUAAAUUUACUAACAUAUUUCAAAUCCAUGGGUGAUUUUCAAAGAGAAAAAGAUUGCUUUUCUUAAAAAAAAAAAAUUAGUAACGAAUUGCAAAUUCAUUAGUAAUUCACGUUUAUAAAUAUAACACUGCUUUUAUCAUUCAUUCAUCUUAUAAUCUACAUUUCUUCCAUUUUUUUCUUUCUCUCAUUUUCUUUCUUUUUUCUCUUACUUUCUUUCAUUUCAUUUUUUCAUCUCAUAAGUUUUUUUUCUUAUUUUUUAUAUUCUUUUUCUUUUAUCUCUUAUCCUAUUUUCUCGCAUCUUCUUUUCUCUUCUAUUAUUUUUUUCAUUCUUCAUAAUUUUCCUUUCAUUUUCUCCCAACUCUUUUCCAUCUUUUUCUUUCCUUUCCUUUUAUCUUCUUUGUUUUCUAUAUACUUUUCAUUCAUGUUAGUUUUUUAAUUUUAUUUUCUUUUAUCAUUUCUUUCUAUCUACAUUUUUUCUAUUAUUUUCUCUUUAUUUAUUUUCUUCUCUAAUUAUUUGUUCAUUUUUUUCAUUUUUCUAAUCAUCUUUUUACUCGACUCUCACUCUUUCUUCUUUUUCAUAAUUUUUAUUUUUCUAUUAUUUUCUUUAUUUUUCUUUUUUUUCUUUCUUUUUAUUAUUUUCUCUCAUUUUAUACCAUUUAUUUUUUUUAUUUUUACUUUUUAAGAUAUAAAUUAAAAAUUUAGUAACAACAAUAAUAUAAUUUUAAGUCUUAUUAAAUUAAUAAAAAAUUAUUUAAACUCUCAAUAGAUUUAUUAAUGGAUUGCAAUUCGUUGAUAAUUUACUAACAGAUUUUACAUCUGUUAAUAAAUUAUUUUUCUUUUAUACUAACAGAUUUAAAGUUUGUUAAUAAUUUAAAAUCAGUUAGCAAUUUAAAAUCUGUUGGUAAUAAUAAUGAAAAUUCCGUUAAUAAAUCCACUAGUAUUAUUAAUGAAAUUAAAAGUCGUUGGUAAAAAUUUACCAUCGAACUUUUUAACAACAGAUCGUAAUCUGUUAGUAAUCCAUUAUUAAUUCAUUUACCAAUAAAUUUUUAUUGGAUUGCCAAUGGAAAAAUCACUGUAUUAUCAAUACAAAUUAAGAAAUUGUUGAUUCAUAUCUUUACAAUAAGAUGUCUUUUAAACUCUUAAGACUUUUGAAGCUAAAAUUGAAGAAACAUUCAUGAUAUUGUAUUUCUCCUUUGGUUGAAACUGUUAUUCAUGCAAGAUGAUUUUCUCUGUUAUAACACUUUGAAAUAAUGUCUAUUAUUGGAAUGCAUAUAACUAUUUGACCGAUAUAAAAUAGGUAUAAUGAGUAUAUAGUUAUCUAUCAGUUUGUGUCAUUUAAUUUUACUGUCUGUUUAUAAAUAUAUUUACAUUCAUUUAAUUUUAAUAUCACAUUGGUAAAUUAUAAGAGAUGAAGAGUUAUCAUUUCCUAUAAAAAGAGAAGGUCUCUCCUCCGUACAAUAUUAGUACCUGGUUUUUAUUAUAUUAUGAUAUUCUUAUAUAGGGCCAUCAGAAAAUUUAGAUAUUUUUAUUUAAUUUUAUUUUAAAACUAUUUCUAAGCUCUAACUAAUAAUUCAGCUUGAAUGCAAGCUCACCACGAGCCACGCUCGAAUCAAGUUCAAGUUAAAGUUCGUUAAAUAUUUCAUGAAUCGAAUUCGAACUUGUAAAAAUUUUUUUAAAAGCAAGCUUGAACUUUAGAAAUGUUGGCUCGACUCAAUUAUCUCUAACCAUUUGAAUUACAAAUAAAUUCAUUAAUAGAUUAAUUGUAUGUAUCAUUAAUAGAUUUAUAAACGGAUAAAUCAUUUGAAUUACAAACAAAUUUAUAAAUAGAUUAACCAUUUGUAUCAUAAAUGGAUUUAUAAGGUUUAUAUUAUAAAUGGAUUUACAAAAAGAUUAUCCGUUUAUAUGUGAAAUUUCAUUUCUAAAUAAUAGGGAAUAUGUGAAUGAAAAAUAUAAACGAAUAUCAAAUUUGUUUAUAUCAUAAAUGGUUAUUCUGUUUAUAAAUCCAUUUGUAUCAUAAACAAAUUAUUUUUCGUUUGAAAAAAAAAAUACAAACAAUAUUUAAACAAAUGGACAAAAGUCUAUUUAUGAUCCAUUUGUAAAUUUAAUUUUUUUUUAAAGUGCUAGAGAUUUAGUAAGUUGGAGAGAGCAGAGCUAACAGCAGCCUCUCUCUUAUAACCAUUCGAAGACUAGAGUCAUAUCUGUGGCAUUAAUAGCAUCUUGAUAUGUCACCUCCCUAGAAAAUUUGAACCCAUCCUACAAAAAAGAAUAUAUGCAAGCAAACCACAGCUCCCUCAGUCGUCGGAAGAGUGAUAUCACAUCUUGAAAAUACUCUCACCAUGAAGCUCCAAAUCUAGAAAUGUAAAAGCAAAAAUAGAAAAACACAGUAUUUUCACCCCAGCCCUAGAGACAAGGAGAGUAAACCCACAUCCAAGGCUCGAGGAAGCCAUCCCGUACUUAAAAGGUAUAGGGAAAGGCUGCCCUCAGAAGUAAACAGGUAGAGAUAAAGCUUUAUUAUAAUCUAAUAAUUUGAUUGGUUAUUUAAAAUAUCUAAUUUGAUUGGUUAAUUAUAUUAGUUUUCUAUUAAAAUUUAAACCAAAAUUUUAUUAUAAUCUAAUAUAAAAAAUUAACUAAAAUUUAAACUUCCAACUUAAAAGAUCAUCAAAAGUAUGAAUAUUUUUAAUGCUGAAUAUUUGAGUUUGUGGCUAAAAUUUUUGGAAUUCCCAAUUUCCUUUUGUUAUCCUUACCACAUUACCAGCUGGCAGAGAGCCUUCCUUUUCCGAUUCUCUGUUUCCUUUCCCCAUUCCCAAUCUCCGAUCCAUCCCCAAAAACAACUGACGAGAGAUCGAUGAUGAUGAAGAUGCCUUGGAGGAGGAAGAGUAGGAGCUUCCAUCUUCAGCUACAAGGGGCAAUUGGUACCAUUCAAUCUCCAUUCCUAUUCUUAUUUACCAAUUAUUGUCAUUCUUCUACUUCCACACUUGAAGAUGCACGCUUCUUGACAAAUAACUUCAAAUCUGCUUCUUUUACCCGCCUUGAUGAUGCCAUUGCUUCCUUUAAUCAUGUAAUUCAUAUGCAUCCUCUUCCUUCUAGGGCUCAAUUUAGUAGAUUCUUCUCUGCCCUUGUGAAAAUGAAACAAUAUCACACUGUAUUUUCCAUGUCCAAAACAAUUGAAUUGGUAGGAAUCUCCCACGAUGUUUAUUCUCUUAGCAUCUUAAUUAAUUGCUUCUGCCACUUACACCUUGUGGAUUUUGGCUUCUCUGUUUUCGGAAAGAUGUUCAAAUUCGGAUUGGAG
rnacentral:lncRNA from 1 species